rnacentral:rRNA from 1 species
GAGUUUGAUCAUGGCUCAGGAUGAACGCUAGCGGCAGGCUUAACACAUGCAAGUCGAGGGGUAUAGGUUUUCGGACCUAGAGACCGGCGCACGGGUGCGUAACGCGUAUGCAAUCUGCCUUUUACAGAGGGAUAGCCCAGAGAAAUUUGGAUUAAUACCUCAUAGUAUUAUUGAAUGGCAUCAUUUAAUAAUUAAAGUUUACAACGGUAAAAGAUGAGCAUGCGUCCCAUUAGCUAGAUGGUAAGGUAACGGCUUACCAUGGCGACGAUGGGUAGGGUCCUGAGAGGGAGAUCCCCCACACUGGUACUGAGACACGGACCAGACUCCUACGGGAGGCAGCAGUGAGGAAUAUUGGUCAAUGGGCGCAAGCCUGAACCAGCCAUGCCGCGUGCAGGAAGACGGUCCUAUGGAUUGUAAACUGCUUUUGUACGGGAAGAAACACUCCCUCGUGAGGGAGCUUGACGGUACGUAAGAAUAAGGAUCGGCUAACUCCGUGCCAGCAG